UGUAUGCACCUAUAGUUGUUGACAGUGAGUCUGAGACAAAUGACCACACAGACUACCCUGCAAAGGAAAGUCCACAGGAUUUGAGCUUGAGUACUGUAGACAUUAUUUCAGAACUGGCCUCCAAGAUUACCAAUACAUCAUACAGCAGGUUCAACAUCAACAGGGCAAAUAUAUGGGAUGAAGUACUCAGAGGCUUCAAGUGACCAACAUAUGAUCCAUCCCAUGAAAUUUUGGUUAAAUUCACUGAUGAUGAGGGACGAACAGAGGAUGCAGUAGACACUGGUGGUCCCAAAUGGGAGUUCCUUACCCUGCUGAUGGACUGCCUUAGAUUACGGAGAAUCUUUGAUGGUCCAGAAGAUAGGAAAUUUCUCAUGUUUGACUGUGCAGCUGCCAGAGAUGAUGAAUAGUUUCACAUUGGGAAGAGGAUCGCUACAUCAAUAGUCCAUGGUGGUCCA